rnacentral:tRNA from 1 species
GGUCCUAUCGUCUAGAGGCCUAGGACGUGGCCCUCUCAAGGCCAAAACAUGGGUUCGAAUCCCAUUAGGAUCACCA